AAUAUGUUUGGUGUUGUCCCUGCUGGUCCAGCCUGUGUUGUUCUCCUCUGGGGCGACUGUAUCGAAGGUUUCUGGUAGUGUAGGAAGAUGCAGGUUACCUAUGGUGCAUUAUUUUGGUGACCUCGUAAAAUUCAAUAAAGUUUACCCAUAAUUUCCAUCUUUGACUCCGGGGUUUUGCAUGUUAAAAAAUUGAGCUUCUGUAGUCCCAGGUCCUGUAGUCCCAGCUUCUGUAGUCCCAGCUUCUGUAGUCCCAGCUUCUGUAGUCCCAGCUUCUGUAGUCCCAGCUUCUGUAGUCCCAGCUUCUGUAGUACGAGCUUCUGUAGUCCCAGCUCCUGUAGUCCCAGCUUCUGUAGUACGAGCUUCUGUAGUCCCAGCUUCUGUAGUCCCAGCUUCUGUAGUACGAGCUUCUGUAGUCCCAGCUCCUGUAGUCCCAGCUUCUGUAGUACGAGCUUCUGUAGUCCCAGCUUCUGUAGUCCCAGCUUCUGUAGUCCCAGCUUCUGUAGUACGAGCUUCUGUAGUCCCAGCUUCUGUAGUCCCAGCUUCUGUAGUCCCAGCUUCUGUAGUCCCAGCUUCUGUAGUCCCAGGUCCUGUAGUCCCAGCUUCUGUAGUCCCAGCUUCUGUAGUACGAGCUUCUGUAGUCCCAGCUUCUGUAGUCCCAGCUCCUGUAGUCCCAGCUCCUGUAGUCCCAGCUUCUGUAGUACGAGCUUCUGUAGUCCCAGCUUCUGUAGUCCCAGCUUCUGUAGUCCCAGCUUCUGUAGUCCCAGCUUCUGUAGUCCCAGCUUCUGUAGUACCAGCUUCUGUAGUCCCAGCUCCUGUAGUCCCAGCUUCUGUAGUACGAGCUUCUGUAGUCCCAGCUUCUCUAGUCCCAGCUCCUGUAGUCCCAGCUUCUGUAGUCCCAUCUUCUGUAGUCCCAGCUUCUGUAGUCCCAGCUCCUGUAGUCCCAGCUUCAGUACUACCAGGUAGGGUCUUGGGCACGUACUACCAGGUAGGGUCUUGGGCAUGUACUACCAGGUAGGGUCUUGGGCAUGUACUACCAGGUAGGGUCUUGGGCACGCACUACCAGGUAGGGUCUUGGGCACGUACUACCAGGUAGGGUCUUGGGCAUGUACUACCAGGUAGGGUCUUGGGCAUGUACUACCAGGUAGGGUCUUGGGCACGCACUACCAGGUAGGGUCUUGGGCACGUACUACCAGGUAGGGUCUUGGGCAUGUACUACCAGGUAGGGUCUUGGGCACGCACUACCAGGUAGGGUCUUGGGCACGUACUACCAGGUAGGGUCUUGGGCAUGUACUACCAGGUAGGGUCUUGGGCAUGUACUACCAGGUAGGGUCUUGGGCACGUACUACCAGGUAGGGUCUUGGGCACGUACUACCAGGUAGGGUCUUGGGCACGUACUACCAGGUAGGGUCUUGGGCACGUACUACCAGGUAGGGUCUUGGGCACGUACUACCAGGUAGGGUCUUGGGCACGUACUACCAGGUAGGGUCUUGGGCACGUACUACCAGGUAGGGUCUUGGGCACGUACUACCAGGUAGGGUCUUGGGCACGUACUACCAGGUAGGGUCUUGGGCACGUACUACCAGGUAGGGUCUUGGGCACGUACUACCAGGUAGGGUCUUGGGCACGUACUACCAGGUAGGGUCUUGGGCACGUACUACCAGGUAGGGUCUUGGGCACGUACUACCAGGUAGGGUCUUGGGCACGUACUACCAGGUAGGGUCUUGGGCACGUACUACCAGGUAGGGUCUUGGGCACGUACUACCAGGUAGGGUCUUGGGCACGUACUACCAGGUAGGGUCUUGGGCACGUACUACCAGGUAGGGUCUUGGGCACGUACUACCAGGUAGGGUCUUGGGCACGUACUACCAGGUAGGGUCUUGGGCACGUACUACCAGGUAGGGUCUUGGGCACGUACUACCAGGUAGGGUCUUGGGCACGUACUACCAGGUAGGGUCUUGGGCACGUACUACCAGGUAGGGUCUUGGGCACGUACUACCAGGUAGGGUCUUGGGCACGUACUACCAGGUAGGGUCUUGGGCACGUACUACCAGGUAGGGUCUUGGGCACGUACUACCAGGUAGGGUCUUGGGCACGUACUACCAGGUAGGGUCUUGGGCAUAUAGUACUACCAUCGUUGGGGUCGUCGUCUUUGUCUAUAAGUCCGCUGAUGAGUUGAGCUGCUCCCUCCACAUUCUCCAAGUUCUGUCCUCCUCAUUCUCCAAGUUCUGUCCUCCUCAUUCUCCAAGUUCUGUCCUCCACAUUCUCCAAGUUCUGUCCUCCACAUUCUCCAAGUUCUGUCCUCCACAUUCUCCAAGUUCUGUCCUCCACAUUCUCCAAGUUCUGUCCUCCACAUUCUCCAAGUUCUGCCCUCCACAUUCUCCAAGUUCUGCCCUCCACAUUCUCCAAGUUCUGCCCUCCACAUUCUCCAAGUUCUGCCCUCCACAUUCUCCAAGUUCUGCCCUCCUCAUUCUCCAAGUUCUGCCCUCCUCAUUCUCCAAGUUCUGCCCUCCUCAUUCUCCAAGUUCUGCCCUCCUCAUUCUCCAAGUUCUGCCCUCCUCAUUCUCCAAGUUCUGCCCUCCUCAUUCUCCAAGUUCUGCCCUCCUCAUUCUCCAAGUUCUGCCCUCCUCAUUCUCCAAGUUCUGCCCUCCUCAUUCUCCAAGUUCUGCCCUCCUCAUUCUCCAAGUUCUGCCCUCCUCAUUCUCCAAGUUCUGCCCUCCUCAUUCUCCAAGUUCUGCCCUCCUCAUUCUCCAAGUUCUGCCCUCCUCAUUCUCCAAGUUCUGCCCUCCUCAUUCUCCAAGUUCUGCCCUCCUCAUUCUCCAAGUUCUGUCCUCCACAUCCUCCAAGUUCUGUCCUCCACAUCCUCCAAGUUCUGUCCUCCACAUCCUCCAAGUUCUGUCCUCCACAUCCUCCAAGUUCUGUCCUCCACAUCCUCCAAGUUCUGUCCUCCACAUCCUCCAAGUUCUGUCCUCCACAUCCUCCAAGUUCUGUCCUCCACAUCCUCCAAGUUCUGUCCUCCACAUCCUCCAAGUUCUGUCCUCCUCAUUCUCCAAGUUCUGCCCUCCUCAUUCUCCAAGUUCUGCCCUCCUCAUUCUCCAAGUUCUGCCCUCCUCAUUCUCCAAGUUCUGUCCUCCACAUCCUCCAAGUUCUGUCCUCCACAUUCUCCAAGUUCUGUCCUCCACAUUCUCCAAGUUCUGUCCUCCACAUUAGAUUGAUUGAUGAAGAUUAAGCCAGCCAAAA
rnacentral:lncRNA from 1 species